rnacentral:rRNA from 1 species
CAGCAGUAGCCGCGGUAAAACAGAGGGUGCGAGCGUUAAUCGGAUUUACUGGGCGUAAAGCGUGCGUAGGCGGCUAAUUGAGUCGGAUGUGAAAUCCCCGAGCUUAACUUGGGAAUUGCAUUCGAUACUGGUUAGCUAGAGUGUGGGAGAGGAUGGUAGAAUUCCAGGUGUAGCGGUGAAAUGCGUAGAGAUCUGGAGGAAUACCGAUGGCGAAGGCAGCCAUCUGGCCUAAUACUGACGCUGAGGUACGAAAGCAUGGGGAGCAAACAGGAUUAGAUACCCCCGUAGUCCCUGUCUCUUAUAC